AUUGAACGCUGGCGGCAUGCUUUACACAUGCAAGUCGAACGGUAACAGGCCGCAAGGUGCUGACGAGUGGCGAACGGGUGAGUAAUGCAUCGGAACGUGCCCAGUCGUGGGGGAUAACUACUCGAAAGAGUAGCUAAUACCGCAUACGAUCUAUGGAUGAAAGCGGGGGACCGUAAGGCCUCGCGCGAUUGGAGCGGCCGAUGUCAGAUUAGGUAGUUGGUAGGGUAAAGGCUCACCAAGCCAACGAUCUGUAGCUGGUCUGAGAGGACGACCAGCCACACUGGGACUGAGACACGGCCCAGACUCCUACGGGAGGCAGCAGUGGGGAAUUUUGGACAAUGGGCGCAAGCCUGAUCCAGCAAUGCCGCGUGCAGGAAGAAGGCCUUCGGGUUGUAAACUGCUUUUGUACGGAACGAAACGGCUCUGGUUAAUACCCGGGGCUAAUGACGGUACCGUAAGAAUAAGCACCGGCUAACUACGUG
rnacentral:rRNA from 1 species